GCCGACCAGCCAAGCAAUUAGCCAACACUUUGUCACCAAUUUAGCAAAAUAUACAUAUUACAUUAAUUGGCCUGAAGUUCCUGACCUGUACUGCACCUUCCAUCUUAUAUAGGUAUUAAUGUUUUUCAGCAUCCAUAGGUUUCUAUAAUUUCAUCGUAGACUGCAUGAAUUGCUAUCAAUGCAUUUCCUUAAUGAUUAACCAAUAAACGAUGUAGAAGCGUCCAAC
rnacentral:lncRNA from 1 species